UGAGGAAUAUUGGGCAAUGCCCGCAAGGGUGACCCAGCAACGCCGCGUGGAGGAUGAAUGUCGUAAGAUUGUAAACUCCUGUUAGAGGGGAAGAAUAGUACCGGUUGGACCGGUAUAUGACUGUACCCUCAGAGAAAGCCCCGGCUAACUACGUGCCAGCAGCCGCGGUAAUACGUAGGGGGCAAGCGUUCUCCGGAUUUACUGGGUGUAAAGGGCGCGCAGGCGGGAUAAAAAGUCAGUGGUGAAAUCCUACAGCUUAACUGUAGAACUGCCUUUGAUACUUUUAUUCUUGAGUUCGGGAGAGAGAGACGGAAUUCCAGGUGUAGUGGUGAAAUACGUAGAUAUCUGGAAGAACACCAGUUGCGAGGGCGGUCUCUUGGUCCGACACUGACGCUGAGGCGCGAAAGCGUGGGGAGCAAACA
rnacentral:rRNA from 1 species